UACGUAGGUGGCAAGCGUUGUCCGGAUUUACUGGGCGUAAAGAGCGCGCAGGCGGUCGUUCAAGUCGCGUGUGAAAGCCCCCGGCUCAACUGGGGAGGGUCACGCGAUACUGAUCGACUCGAAGGCAGGAGAGGGAAGUGGAAUUCCUGGUGUAGAGGUGAAAUUCGUAGAUAUCAGGAGGAACACCAGUGGCGAAGGCGGCUUCCUGGACACCAACUGACGCUGAGACGCGAAAGCGUGGGGAGCAAACAGG
rnacentral:rRNA from 1 species